GACGAACGCUGGCGGCGUGCUUAACACAUGCAAGUCGAACGUGAUUUUUGUGGAAAUUCUUUCGGGAAUGGAAAUGAAAUGAAAGUGGCGAACGGGUGAGUAACACGUGAGCAACCUACCUUACACAGGGGGAUAGCCGUUGGAAACGACGAUUAAUACCGCAUGAGACCACAGAAUCGCAUGAUAUAGGGGUCAAAGAUUUAUCGGUGUAAGAAGGGCUCGCGUCUGAUUAGCUAGUUGGAAGGGUAAAGGCCUACCAAGGCGACGAUCAGUAGCCGGUCUGAGAGGAUGAACGGCCACAUUGGAACUGAGACACGGUCCAAACUCCUACGGGAGGCAGCAGUGGGGAAUAUUGCACAAUGGGGGGAACCCUGAUGCAGCGACGCCGCGUGAGCGAAGAAGGUUUUCGAAUCGUAAAGCUCUGUCCUAUGAGAAGAUAAUGACGGUAUCAUAGGAAG
rnacentral:rRNA from 1 species